rnacentral:rRNA from 1 species
AGACUGUGAUGGGUAGGGGUUCUGAGAGGAUUAUCCCCCACACUGGUACUGAGACACGGACCAGACUCCUACGGGAGGCAGCAGUAAGGAAUAUUGGGCAAUGGACGCAAGCCUGACCCAGCCAUGCCGCGUGCAGGAUGACGGCCUUAUGGGUUGUAAACUGCUUUUGUAUGGGAUUAAAGUGUUGUACGUGUACGACAUUGCAAGUACCAUACGAAUAAGCAUCGGCUAACUCCGUGCCAGCAGCCGCGGUAAUACGGAGGAUGCAAGCGUUAUCCGGAAUCAUUGGGUUUAAAGGGUGCGUAGGUUGAUUAUUAAGUCAGUGGUGAAAAUUCCGGGCUCAACCCGGGACUUGCCGUUGAAACUGAUAAUCUUGAGUGUAACUGAUGUGGGCGGAAUGUGUCAAGUAGCGGUGAAAUGCAUAGAUAUGACACAGAACACCGAUAGCGAAGGCAGCUCACAAAAUUACAACUGACACUGAGGCACGAAAGCGUGGGUAUCAAACAGGAUUAGAUACCCUGGUAGUCCACGCUGUAAACGAUGAUCACUAGCUGUUUGCGAUACAUUGUAAGUGGUUAAGCGAAAGCGAUAAGUGAUCCACCUGGGGAGUACGUCGGCAACGAUGAAACUCAAAGGAAUUGACGGGGGCCCGCACAAGCGGUGGAGCAUGUGGUUUAAUUCGACGCAACGCGAAGAACCUUACCUGGACUUGACAUCUCGGGAAUUCCGUUGAAAGACGGGAGUGCCUUUAACGAGGAAUCCGAUGACAGGUGCUGCAUGGCUGUCGUCAGCUCGUGUCGUGAGAUGUUGGGUUAAGUCCCGCAACGAGCGCAACCCCUAUCUUCAGUUACCAUCAGGUGAUGCUGGGGACUUUGGAGAUACUGCCCCGGUUAACAGGGAGGAAGGUGGGGAUGACGUCAAGUCCUCAUGGCCUUUAUGUCCAGGGCUGCACACGUGCUACAAUGGUAUGUACAAAGGGAAGCGAUCCCGCGAGGAGGAGCUAAUCCCAAAAAGCAUAUCAAAGUUCGGAUCGGAGUCUGCAACUCGACUCCGUGAAGUUGGAAUCGCUAGUAAUCGCGGAUCAGCAUGCUGCGGGGAUACGUUCCCGGGCCUUGUACACACCGCCCGUCACACCAUGAGAGUUGGCUGUACCAGAAGUCGUUGGGCUAACCCGCAAGGGGGUAGGCGCCUAAGUAUGGUUGAUGAUU